rnacentral:tRNA from 1 species
GUGGUUGUGGCUCAGUGUAGAGAGCAUGCCUAGCAUGUGUGAGACACUGGGUUUGAUUCUCAGCACCACA